AAAGAUAAAGAGAGAGAGAAAGAAAAAGAAAGAGAAAGAAAGAAAGAAAGGAAAGAAAGAAAGGCAAGCAAGCAAGCUACAUACCUUCCUCACAAUUUGCCCACUUGGAAAUUCCUUGUGGGCUCAAGAUCUUUACCCUAAAAUGGUUCUGUUGAAUUUUAUCCUGACAGUGUAAAUUGAUAGCUUAUCUAAACAGUUGCAGGACAAAGGACAAAACCGAAAGUCAUCCCUCUGCUCACUUAAGACAAAUGCACAUCUGAAUGCUUCACCUGAUGUAAAAGUGUGAUUCACUGAGCUACAUGAAAGCAUGAGUGACUAUUAUUCCUCUACCCACCACCCCCCCAACCCCCCCUCCCUGCCAACAUGUAAAUUGUGUAUUCAGUGAAAGGCUGAUCAAACACAAAAAAGAAUGAAACAAUUUGUCUCUUAUCUACCCACAACUUUAAAAGAUGUAUUCCUUUUUCCCCAAUAUCCACCCUUUCCCUUUAAAUAUUGAAGCCCUCAAAAUAAUCUUUGGAGAAAGGCACAGACAUGUUUGCUUGGUGUACAUAUUUAACCUUGGCAAAAUAAACAUUCUAAAUUCAUUG
rnacentral:lncRNA from 10 species